UAUCCUGGCUCAGGAUGAACGCUAGCUACAGGCUUAACACAUGCAAGUCGAGGGGAAACGAUAUUGGAAGCUUGCUUCCGAUAGGCGUCGACCGGCGCACGGGUGAGUAACGCGUAUCCAACCUGCCCAUCACUUGGGGAUAACCUUGCGAAAGUAAGACUAAUACCCAAUGACGUCUCUAGAAGACAUCUGAAAGAGAUUUAAAGAUUUAUCGGUGAUGGAUGGGGAUGCGUCUGAUUAGCUUGUUGGCGGGGUAACGGCCCACCAAGGCGACGAUCAGUAGGGGUUCUGAGAGGAAGGUCCCCCACAUUGGAACUGAGACACGGUCCAAACUCCUACGGGAGGCAGCAGUGAGGAAUAUUGGUCAAUGGACGAGAGUCUGAACCAGCCAAGUAGCGUGCAGGAUGACGGCCCUAUGGGUUGUAAACUGCUUUUAUAAGGGAAUAAAGUGAGUCUCGUGAGACUUUUUGCAUGUACCUUAUGAAUAAGGACCGGCUAAUUCCGUG
rnacentral:rRNA from 1 species